rnacentral:tRNA from 1 species
AAUAAAGUGCCUGAGAAAUAGGAGCACUCUGAUACUGUGUUUAUGCUGAUUGCCUUUAUUU